GGAGUGGCCGAUGCCUGAUUAGCUAGUUGGUGGGGUAAUGGCCUACCAAGGCGACGAUCAGUAGUUGGUCUGAGAGGACGACCAGCCACACUGGGACUGAGACACGGCCCAGACUCCUACGGGAGGCAGCAGUGGGGAAUUUUGGACAAUGGGCGAAAGCCUGAUCCAGCAAUGCCGCGUGAGUGAAGAAGGCCUUCGGGUUGUAAAGCUCUUUCAGUCGAGAAGAAAAGGUUGUGACUAAUAAUCACAACUUAUGACGGUAUCGACAGAAGAAGCACCGGCUAACUACGUGCCAGCAGCCGCGGUAAUACGUAGGGUGCGAGCGUUAAUCGGAAUUACUGGGCGUAAA
rnacentral:rRNA from 1 species